rnacentral:rRNA from 1 species
GACGAACGCUGGCGGCGUGCUUAACACAUGCAAGUCGAACGGUGAAGCGCCUUCCUUUUUGGUGGGUGUGGAUGAGUGGCGAACGGGUGAGUAACACGUGAGUAACCUGCUCCCUUCUUCUGGAUAACCGCAUGAAAGUGUGGCUAAUACGGGAUAUUCUGGGUCUGUCGCAUGAUGGGUCUGGGAAAGAUAUUGUUUCGGUGGGGGAUGGGCUCGCGGCCUAUCAGCUUGUUGGUGGGGUGAUGGCCUACCAAGGCGGUGACGGGUAGCCGGCCUGAGAGGGUGGACGGUCACACUGGGACUGAGACACGGCCCAGACUCCUACGGGAGGCAGCAGUGGGGAAUAUUGCACAAUGGGCGCAAGCCUGAUGCAGCGACGCCGCGUGAGGGAUGGAGGCCUUCGGGUUGUGAACCUCUUUCGCCAGUGAAGCAGGCCUGCCUCGUUUGUGGGUGGGUUGACGGUAGCUGGAUAAGAAGCGCCGGCUAACUACGUG